rnacentral:tRNA from 1 species
AAGGGUAUGCCUCAGAGGUAGAGCACAUGCUUAGCAUGCAUGAGGGCCUGGGUUCAAUCCCCAGUGCCUCCA